rnacentral:rRNA from 1 species
CAGCAGCCACGGUAAUACGGAGGGGGCUAGCGUUGUUCGGAAUUACUGGGCGUAAAGCGCACGUAGGCGGCUUUGUAAGUUAGAGGUGAAAGCCCGGAGCUCAACUCCGGAAUUGCCUUUAAGACUGCAGAGCUAGCAGGUGAGAGAGGUGAGUGGAAUUCCGAGUGUAGAGGUGAAAUUCGUAGAUAUUCGGAAGAACACCAGUGGCGAAGGCGGCUCACUGGACUGGUAUUGACGCUGAGGUGCGAAAGCGUGGGGAGCAAACAGGAUUAGAUACCCCUGUAGUCCCUGUCUCUUAUAC